CCAAGGAGUCUAACAUGUGCGCGAGUCAUUGGGUCUUGCACAGGCCCAAAGGCACAAUGAAAGUGAAGGCCGACCCGGUCGGCUGCGUUGGGAUCCCGGGCGUUUUUUCGUCCGGGCGCACCAACGGCCCGUCCCGAUCGCCGCGUCGACGGGGCGGAGUGAGAGCGUACACGUUGGGACCCGAAAGAUGGUGAACUAUGCCUGGGCAGGACGAAGCCAGAGGAAACUCUGGUGGAGGUCCGCAGCGAUUCUGACGUGCAAAUCGAUCGUCAGACCUGGGUAUAGGGGCGAAAGACUAAUCGAACCAUCUA
rnacentral:rRNA from 1 species